rnacentral:rRNA from 1 species
UACGGAGGAUGCAAGCGUUAUCCGGAUUUAUUGGGCGUAAAGCGUCCGCAGGUGGCUAUACAAGUCUGCUGUUAAAGCGUGGGGCUUAACUCCAUACAGGCAGUGGAAACUGUAAAGCUAGAGUCUGGUAGGGGUCACGGAAUUCCCAGUGUAGCGGUGAAAUGCGUAGAUAUUGGGAGGAACACCGAUGGCGAAGGCAGCCCCCUGGGCUGAGAUUGACGCUCAGGCACGAAAGCGCUGGGGAGCAAACAGGG